CUCUGUUUAUGAUCAUUGCUUGUGUACGUACAUGGAAUGUGAAUGCAUUAAGAGUCUGAGUUUCUGAGUUUCUGAGGAAAGUUUCUGAGUUUUAUCAAACUCUGUGUGAUUCUUCACGGAAGAUAAUCGAUGCAGGAGAAACUAUGGAGGAAGUAGAGAAGAAGAUUCAACAAGUGGUGUUGGAUAAAGUUAAAGAGUGUGUUCAAGGAAAGUCUCUUUCUCUCCUCUGGUCAUCUUUUAUGAUUUUUAAACCAAUCCACUCUUGUAGAAUGUUUGUGUUAUGGUGAUUAUACCAAGUUUGUGAUUUUCAAAGAACUAUUAUAUCAACUUAACAAGUAUUUUGCAAAAUCUAAUCAUUCAACUUCUUUAAAAAAAA